GGGAUGCCCAGCCAAGGAGCCCUGGAAGGGUUGCCCUGGGGACUGACACUGUGGGCUCUGUGUUUUAGCCAAGUCACCCAGGCAGCUGAACAGAAGAUGGACUGGAGGGAGAAGCCUGGAUGAUCGCUCAGCAACAAAGGAGCCAGAAAAGGCAAGGUGUACACACCGUGUGCAGCAUGGGCGAGCUGCAGGCAUGCAGAACUUCUGAGUCCUAACCAUGGC
rnacentral:lncRNA from 1 species